UGCAUAAUCAGAGCCUGGUGGAUGCACCUCAACUCUUCCUGAUGUAACUUGAAUUAUGUUUCUACAAGUAAACUAAAUGUGCCUGUGUGGUGCCUGGAACUGCUUUUUAGCAUAGAAGGCUCCGAAUUCAUGUCAUUUAAUUCUGUCACCCUCACAGUAAGGUCACUGUAUGUAGACUAGUAGUAUGGUUUGAGGAUGGUUCCCAAAUCCUUAGUCAUGACCAGGCUGGUCUGAGAAAGCUCUGUUUGGCAUUUUUCUAGCAGUUGAGCUGCUUAGAGAACGCUGUUGCAGUGUCUGCAAAUGUUCACCAGUACUCAGAUCUAGCACUAGAUUUUCUUCAGUUUUUGACCUUUUGCUAAUACGUUUUCUGCUUACAGGAAGGAAAUAGGAGAAGAAAGUGAUCAAAAUAAGUUAGAAAUAUAUUGUGGUGUUUCAGAACUUAAGGAGUUAAUGUGCAUUUCUGGCUCACUGUUGUAUAUCUCUGCUCAUAGCAGUACUUCACAAAUAAAUUCCAUUGUUUGACAACCAGCCUUGUUUUCCAUGCACCAUUUCCAGGAUUCUGCAUUAAGGUUACAGAUGCAGUGUAUCUCUUCAAAUAAGCAAGAAGUAAAUAGGAGACAGGCAAAAAGAAAGAAAGAUUUUUUUUAAAAAAAAAAAAAAAAGUAAAUAAAUAAAUAAAUAAGUCAGCUUCUCAGCUGGCUUAGACAAGUGGUGAAGCUUACAAAGCUUUGCUGAUUUUUUUGAGAUAUGCCCAUAUUUUUAUUACGCAUGUGCAUUUUACAGAGGAUUAUACACUUAGUUUGAAAAAGUCUGGACACAGUCACUAAUUUGGUUUUGUCCAGAAGCUAGGACUGAAUUGUUUUUCAUGAAGAUGAUGAUUAAAAAGAAGAGAAAAAGUACCAUUUUUCUCUUUUGAAGUCCUGCAGCAUUGUGCCAUUUGGGGUAUUGUCAUUGAUCUCUCUGCCAUUGCCUUAUACUGAUAGUAAAGUUAUUUUUUCCAAAGCUUAUUCAGCUCAGCAGGAACCAGCAGCUCAGCAAGGGAAACCUAAAUCAGCCACAGGGGAGAAGAACUAAAAUAAAUAGCCAACACUGACAAUAAAAGUCAAAGGUGGGGAGGAAGAAGGCAUUCUGUUUCUUGUCCACCAGCAGCCAGAUACUUAGAUGUUCCUAUGACUGCAGAAACAUUGUUAUAAUGAGAAGUGUUUUAAAUUGCACAGAUAUUUUAAAGAAGCAUUUCUACCAAAGACAAAAAAUAAAUGAAGUCGGUAAAUUCCACUACUAAAUUUUACAGUCUCACACAAUCUAUAUUUUAGAACAGGUUCUUCAAAAUAUUCAAAUAACAUGGUGUCAAGCAAUUGAUCUUUUCUUAUUCCUAGAAAUACAUAUCAUAGGUACAAUUUCAGAUAUUUGAAGCAUCAUCCAUUUCUGACUGCAAUUUGCCAAGUAAAUUGGUUGUUUGUAGAAGAGAUUAAACACUGAUGCACAAAUUAUAACUGCCUAAACAAUAUUACAGGUAACUUCAUGCAUGCAAACACUUAUUGUGGGCAAAGUCGCUGAUAACAGAAGGAGCUUUACUUGUAUUGUGAAAGUAGAAGGCCUGAAUAUCCAGUUGGCGUAAUGCUGGACAAGUGUACUCAGACUAAUGUGUCUUGCUGACAUCAGGUUAAUAUAUGUUUGUUUAGUAAUAGGCCUUACCAUAGUUUCUCCUCCUUUUCUUAAUUAAUUGGUGUUGGUUUUUUACACUUAGCUUGGAGUUCUGACAGUUAAUCCAGAAUUUGAAUGGUCCUGUAUUUGUAUACUUCCAGUUAGGAGAAUUAAACUUGGGUGCUAUUGGCAAAGUGUGGUUAAAAAUACAGCUUUUAAUUAGGUUUAAAUAUCUUUAUACCUUUGAGUUAGAAUUGAACAUCAAUGGAUAAGUAAGAUGCAACCUUCAGAAGUAGUGAAACAGUCCUGUGAAUAUUUAAAAGAUUUUUAAUACAAAAAUAAUCAAUAGAGAAGGCAAAAUUGCAUCAAAGCAUUCAGCCUAAAAAGUACUCAAUUACUCAAUAACUUAAGCAUUUAUAUAGGUUAGUGGGAAAUAAAGUUUGCUAGGGAGAUCUGGAGAGUCUUUCAGGACUCUGAAAGAUUGACUUUCACGCAUUAAGUCAAGUAUUUGUACUUGUGUAAGCUAAGUUUGGAAAGAUAAUAUUUCUGUGUCUUGGUGAAACCCACAGCUCAAGUUUACUACUGAAUAGGAAUGAAGAGUUGAUCCACACACAAACACUCUGCUUGCUUGCUUGCUUGCUUCUGGUUAUUUUACACGCAAUGAAACUUUUGAUAAUCAUUUAGAAGAUUUUCAGCACAAAGUGUCUAUGAGGCAGGGAUGGGAAGAUGACAGAGGGACAGAUUUUUCAUAAUGUUUUCCUUUCACUGCUCUUCUGACAUCAUAAAAUUCUGUAUAGAAUUCUGUGUAGAAUUGUGCUCAUUCCAUUAUUCCAUUUUUCUUUAUUGAAUUAAAGUUAGGAUGAGGGUGGAAUGAGGAAAAUAGAGGACAGGAUGCAAGAAUAUCAAAUUGGUUACCAAGUUACUUCUGUUCGCUACUGACAGAAACUUGUCUUCUGAUGUAUAAAAUGAAGUGUAAAAGUUUAUAAUAUACUCCAGCUAACAAAAUAUAUUGAUAGCAAUUGCUUUUAAUGAAUCACCAUCUCAGGGGAAAAGUGAUGUUUAACUGGCAUAAAUUUUAGAGAUAGUGUAUAAUGUUAGCACCAUCAUCUUUCAGUUACUUAGAAAAAAGCAGGACAUCUAUUUCCAAAUACCAGUAUUUCAAUACAGCUUUAUUGGACAAAGUCUGUUCUUCUAUAACAGAUCUUGUAUUUUCUUUACUCUGUAUUUGCCUGUGGCAUGUACAAAGCAGACUUUAUCUCCCAUUUCAUGAUUUUCUGAUUGUUUUUAAAUCCAUUAAAAAAAUCUCACAUUGAUUUUCUACCAACUUCUUCACUGGAAGUCUGAAUUUAUCACUUCCUUUGUUUUCAAGAUAAUAUUAAUUCAGGCACUGAUUUAGGUCUCGGUCACAUAAGCUCAAAAGUACUUCCCCCCACCUCAUUUGCUUAAAAAAAUUAAGGAAACUUCAGUCCUAUGAGAAAAAUCUUAUUCCUGCUUUUCUUCAUUGUAAUCCUUUGAAAGGAAGCAGGAGCUACAGCUCUCCAGCUGCAGCUUGGAGGAUUUCCUCUAAGAGUUCUAAUAUUCUAAUUCCAGAGAAAAAAACAUAUUUUUUCCUGUUAAGCUGAAUGAUAAAACCGAAGAAUUAGUUUAAGUACCCAGCUUUCAUUCUUCCUGCUUUGUCUCUUUUUUUUUUCUUUUUUUUUUUCUUUUUUUUCUUUUUUUUCUUUUUUUUAGGUUAUGGGAUUUUGUUUUGAUUUUUAGUGUUUUGGUUUUGUUUUGUUUUGUUUUGUUUUGUUUUAAUCCACCUAUUACUCUGCUUUACAGUGAAAAAAAAGGAGAAGAAUGCAUUAGGCCUUCUCUGAGCUGCUUUAGUAAUUCAAGAAUCUAUUUAUCUCCUGACAUCAAUUAAGUUGCUUUUGGUUUUAUAAAUUAAAACUGUAAUGUCUCUACAGGAUUUUUAGGGAUCAAUAGAUACAUCAAUGAAUCUGUAGCUUGCCACUGCUUUUUUCUGAGGCUGAUAACCACUUAUAAUACCCACAUAAGCACAAAAAAAAAGUUUAAAUUAAGCAGAUUUUGACUAGGAAUGGAAAAUCUCACCUCAAUCAUGAAAA